rnacentral:rRNA from 1 species
GAAGUAGUGCCUAUGCGCUAUUUAGUGGCAAACGGGUGAGUAACACGUAGCUUAGCUGUCCUAAAGUGGGGGAUAGCCGCGGGAAGCCGCGGGUAAUACCGCAUGUGAUCUACGGAUUAAAGCUUAAUGCGCUUUAGGAGGUGGCUGCGGCCCAUCAGGUUGUUGGCGGGGUAAUGGCCCACCAAGCCUAUGACGGGUAUCCGGCCUGAGAGGGUGAUCGGACACAUUGGAACUGAGACACGGUCCAGACUCCUACGGGAGGCAGCAGCUAGGAAUUUUCCGCAAUGGACGAAAGUCUGACGGUGCAACGCCGCGUGAAGGAUGAAGGUCUUUAGGGAUUGUAAACUUCUUUUAUAUGAGACGAGUAAGGACGGUAUCAUAAGAAUAAGUCCCGGCUAACUACGUGCCAGCAGCCGCGGUAAUACGUAGGGGGCUAGCGUUGUUCGGAAUUACUGGGUAUAAAGGGUGCGC